CUUAUAUAAUGUCUAUUUGUCCAGGGUAACCAUAGUUUGACCAAAUCCCUAGUGCCAAAGAAGGGGUUUGAUUCCAUCCUGUGCUGAUAGUCUAUUUGCUCCAUAACAUUAUGCCAUGAUAAUGGGAUAGAAGAUUUCCAAGCCCUGGCUAUACAUAUUUUAAUGGCAAAAAAAGAAGAUAUUUUUGAUAUUUAUCUUGCGAAGGAAAAC